rnacentral:rRNA from 1 species
UACGGGAGGCAGCAGUGGGGAAUAUUGCACAAUGGGCGCAAGCCUGAUGCAGCCAUGCCGCGUGUAUGAAGAAGGCCUUAGGGUUGUAAAGUACUUUUCAUCGGGGAGGAAAAAACAAAAACUAAUAAUUUUAUUUCUUGACGUUACCCGAAAAAGAAGCACCGGCUAACUCCGUGCCAGCAGCCGCGGUAAUACGGAGGGUGCUAGCGUUAAUCAGAAUUACUGGGCGUAAAGAGCACGUAGGUGGUUUUUUUAAGUUCAGAUGUGAAAUCCCUGGGCUUAACCUAGGAACUGCAUUUUGAAACUGAAAUACUAGAGUAUCGUAGAGGGAGGUAGAAUUCUAGGUGUAGCGGUGAAAUGCGUAGAUAUCUGGAGGAAUACCUGUGGCGAAAGCGGCCUCCUAAACGAAUACUGACACUGAGGUGCGAAAGCGUGGGGAGCAAACAGGGAUUAGGAUACC